GAUGAACGCUGACAGAAUGCUUAACACAUGCAAGUCUUUGGCGAAGCUGUGCUCGCACAGCCUAGCCAAGGCGGACGGGUGAGUAACGCGUAAGGAACUUGCCCUGCAGUCAGGGAUAACAGACGGAAACGACUGAUAAGACCUGGUAAAGUCAGGCGGACUCAUGUCCAGCCUGAUGAAAAGAGAUGCUGCAGGAGAGCCUUGCGUCCUAUUAGCUUGUUGGUGGGGUAACGGCCCACCAAGGCGAUGAUAGGUAGCCGGCCUGAGAGGGUGGACGGCCACAAGGGGACUGAGAUACGGCCCUUACUCCUACGGGAGGCAGCAGUGGGGAAUAUUGGACAAUGGGGGCAACCCUGAUCAAGCAAUUCUGUGUGCACGAUGAAGGUUUUCGGAUUGUAAAGUGCUUUCAGCAGGGAAGAAAAAAAUGACGGUACCUGCAGAAGAAGCGACGGCUAAAUACGUG
rnacentral:rRNA from 1 species